UACGUAGGGUGCAAGCGUUAUUCGGAAUUACUGGGCGUAAAGCGUGCGCAGGCGGUGAUGUAAGUCAGAUGUGAAAUCCCCGGGCUCAACCUGGGAACUGCAUUUGUGACUGCAUCGCUGGAGUGCGGCAGAGGGGGAUGGAAUUCCGCGUGUAGCAGUGAAAUGCGUAGAUAUGCGGAGGAACACCGAUGGCGAAGGCAAUCCCCUGGACCUGUACUGACGCUCAUGCACGAAAGCGUGGGGAGCAAACAGG
rnacentral:rRNA from 1 species